CCUGGCCAGCCCCACCAGUAUAUCUGCCUCCAAUGGGAAGAAAACAGGGUCUUUGCACUGAGAUGGGUACAUGUAGUCCAUUGCCAUGCCUCAGCUAUUGCAAGGGACCCGCUGACUAUGGGAGACCAAUGCAUACUACAAAUGCUGGCUUUGCUGCAUCUCUUUGCCCUGAACAGACUGGAUGAUGCCCACCCACACGGAUGAAGGGCGGAUGUUGUUUACUCAGUCUGCUGAUUCCAACGCUAAUCUUUUCCAGAAACACCAUCACAGACACACCGAGAAAUAAUGCUUUAUCACCUAUGUGGGCAUUCUUGAGCCCAAUCAAGUUGCCACAUGAAAUUUACCAUCACACCUACCUGUCCACCUCUGCCCACACCUACUUUAAGUUUAACCCAAUAAUAAAUGAGACUUAAUCUCAUUUUUAGAGCCCUCCAAUGAAAAAUUUGUUAUUGUACUUCAUAAGACUUUUUGAUAUUUAACAGGUCUCAAGAAAGAUUUUUUUUGGCAAAAGCCAUACUUACACAAAGAAGACAUGGGUUUUAGACUGACUUUGGCCCUUUCUACCUGUAGGGUCACAUACUUUCACAAUAUGGACAAAAUGAUGCUACUGUGCCUUUCCCACAGGAUUGCUGUAUAAAUCAUUUGUGAAUUCUAAGAUUAUUGAGAUGAUUAUGCUUAUGAAUAUCUUAUUAUAUAAUAACUUUUCCCAUUUUAAAAAGAAUUGCAUUUAUAGACAUAAAUGACUAAGGUGGCUUUUAAAAUUCCCGAAGAAAAUCUUUUUAGAUAUAUACCAUUCUAAUGACUUGUAUUUAUUAGACAAGUCUGGAUUUAAAAAUGGGAGUUUAUAGUCAUUUAAGCCAACUAAUAAUAAUAUCUAAGGAGCCUGGAUGAGUAAAGACUCUUCAAUUCACAGUCAAAUGCCAAGUGAGGCUUAUAUUUUCGUUAGGAAAGUUUCGCCAGGGUGAUUGUUUUAAUUACUUUUAUUGGAAUAACAGUAGCUAAUAAAGCAAUCCAGAUUGUUACCAAGCUCAGUAGGAGAGAAAAUAAUAGGAUGUCUUCACAUCUUAUGACUAGAAAUCAUGUCCUCAGAUACUUUGUUUCUUCCUCUUUCAUUGUGGUGUGAAAAGUAGAAAGAAAGCUCCCCUCUGCAGGGGAAGUUUUAUAGAGAUGGUAACCUGGUUAUACUCUGUCUUUUAGGAAUCCUUGCAGAGUUGGGAAUAGCACAUUUCUCACUAUAUAUAUAUAUAUAUAUAUAUAUAUAUAUAUAUAUAUAAUAUAUAUAUGGUAAUUUUUGUGUGGAUUUAUAUUACCUUUGAUCCCCAGACAUUGUUUGAAAAACUUGAGGAAGGAGGAAAAAGAAUCAGAUGGUGACGGAACUCAUGUGGCUGACUGAG
rnacentral:lncRNA from 1 species